GACGAACGCUGGCGGCGUGCUUAACACAUGCAAGUCGAACGGAAAGGCCCUGCUUGCAGGGUACUCGAGUGGCGAACGGGUGAGUAACACGUGGGUGAUCUGCCCUGCACUUCGGGAUAAGCUUGGGAAACUGGGUCUAAUACCGGAUAGGAACCAUCUUUAGUGUGGUGGUUGGAAAGUUUUUUCGGUGUAGGAUGAGCUCGCGGCCUAUCAGCUUGUUGGUGGGGUAAUGGCCUACCAAGGCGGCGACGGGUAGCCGGCCUGAGAGGGUGUACGGCCAGAUUGGGACUGUGAUACGGGCCAGAGUCCUACGGGAGGCAGCAGUGGGGAAUAUUGCACAAUGGGCGCAAGCCUGAGGCAGCGACGCCGCGUGGGGGAUGAAGGCCUUCGGGUUGUAAACUCCUUUCGCUAGGGACGAAGCUUUGUUGUGACGGUACCUAGAUAAGAAGCACCGGCUAACUACGUG
rnacentral:rRNA from 1 species